UACGUAGGGUGCAAGCGUUGUCCGGAAUCAUUGGGCGUAAAGAGCGUGUAGGCGGCCCGAUCAGUCCGCUGUAAAAGUCCAGGGCUCAACCCUGGGAUGCCGGUGGAUACUGUCGGGCUAGAGUCCGGAAGAGGCGAGUGGAAUUCCUGGUGUAGCGGUGAAAUGCGCAGAUAUCAGGAGGAACACCAAUGGCGAAGGCAGCUCGCUGGGACGGUACUGACGCUGGAGACGCGAAAGCGUGGGGAGCAAACAGG
rnacentral:rRNA from 1 species